UACGUAGGGUGCGAGCGUUAAUCGGAAUUACUGGGCGUAAAGGGUGCGCAGGCGGUUCUGCAAGUCAGGCGUGAAAGCCCCGGGCUUAACCUGGGAAUGGCGCUUGAAACUACAGGACUGGAGUAUGGCAGAGGGAGGUGGAAUUCCACGUGUAGCGGUGAAAUGCGUAGAGAUGUGGAGGAACACCGAUGGCGAAGGCAGCCCCCUGGGCCAACACUGACGCUCAGGCACGAAAGCGUGGGGAGCAAACAGG
rnacentral:rRNA from 1 species